CGCACCUUUAAAGUUAAACCGUUACUAAACGAAUUUUUCGCAAAAAUGAGUUAUCAACGCCAUCUUACUAAAGGACACGUAAACUACAAGAUAAAAUAGACCACUUCUUCAAAAUUGCCUUCUAACGCCAUCUAGCGUUAAAGCAUAACGUUACUAAGCCAAACUUUGAACGGCUCGCUAAAUACAAUAACGGGUCUAUGCAAGUAAGAACGUGUUUGUUGCGGAGUGAUGACGAAAGUUUAAAUUCAUAGUGUGAUUAUUUGGAUAGUAACGGCCGUUCGUCACAAAAAAAGGUGAUGUCGUAUUUCCGGAUGACCUCACCCCCUCUUCGUAGCUGAUAACUAAGCCCUGAAUCCUUUAACAGAGUGCGAAGAGGAUUCAGUGCUAGGCAGAACCACAAGGGACUCAAACUGUCACCCUGGAAAUGCCUCGCUCAAUCCUUAUGAAGUUCAAUGGAUCAGGAGACCUCUCACCACCACCUGGCUGCCGAAGGACUGUAGUCCACUGCCCCAUGCAUGAGCAUGAGCGUAAAAAGGAUCUCAUUGCAUCUACCUUAUACAACUCUAAGAUCCUCUCCCGCCAUGAUUGAGGCACCGAAUCAUAGGCCUUCUUAUAGUCAAUCCAGGCAGCAGAGAGAGCUUUCCUGCUCCGCCGAACUUGUUGGCUAAUGGUUAUGUCUAUGAGGAGGAGCUCUUUAGUAUCACGAGACUCAACCUUACAUCCAUUCUGAGCAGUGGCCACAAAAUAUUGUUCAUUAUUUUUAUUAUUAAGUGAUUUAAGGUAGGUAUGUGAACAACCUUUCGAGGGUAGGGAAAUAAUGCUGAGAUUGUAACUUGAGUUUAAUAUAAUUUUUAUGUAUUUUUGGUAGGUAAUUGCUAGGUGUGUUUUUUUCUUAUUCGUUAUCAGUUAUACUUCCUAUGAUUUAAAGGUACAAAAUGUCUUAAGACUGAUUAAUAAAUAACUAGGCUAAAUGCUUGUAUGGAUAUCUUUAAUUUGUAAUAAAAUAUUGUUGAUUUCGAA